rnacentral:tRNA from 1 species
GGGGUUGUGGCUCAGCAGUAGAGCGCUUGCCUGACACGCGUGGGGCUCUGGGUUCGAUCCUCAGCACCA